rnacentral:rRNA from 1 species
GAGUUUGAUCUUGGCUCAGGACGAACGCUGGCGGCGUGCCUAACACAUGCAAGUUGAGCGACGAACCAGGGCUUGCCCUGGGGCAAAGCAGCGAACGGGUGAGUAACACGUGGGUAACCUACCCCGAUGACCGGGACAACCCGAGGAAACUCGGGCUAAUACCGGAUGUGCUCUCUGAACUUCGGUUCAGUGCGUAAAGGAAGCUUCGGCCUCCGCAUCGGGAGGGGCCCGCGGCCCAUUAGUUUGUUGGUGAGGUAACGGCUCACCAAGACCGCGAUGGGUAGCUGGUCUGAGAGGACGAUCAGCCACACUGGGACUGAGACACGGCCCAGACUCCUACGGGAGGCAGCAGUGGGGAAUCUUGCGCAAUGCGCGAAAGCGUGACGCAGCAACGCCGCGUGGGGGAAGAAGGCCU